CCUUUCCUUUCUUUCCUUUCC
rnacentral:misc_RNA from 1 species